rnacentral:rRNA from 1 species
GAUGAACGCUGGCGGCAUGCCUUACACAUGCAAGUCGAACGGCAGCACGGGAGCUUGCUCCUGGUGGCGAGUGGCGAACGGGUGAGUAAUACAUCGGAACGUACCCAGGAGUGGGGGAUAACGUAGCGAAAGUUACGCUAAUACCGCAUAUUCUGUGAGCAGGAAAGCGGGGGAUCGCAAGACCUCGCGCUCUUGGAGCGGCCGAUGUCGGAGUAGCUAGUUGGUGAGGUAAAAGCUCACCAAGGCGACGAUCCGUAGCAGGUCUGAGAGGAUGAUCUGCCACACUGGGACUGAGACACGGCCCAGACUCCUACGGGAGGCAGCAGUGGGGAAUUUUGGACAAUGGGGGCAACCCUGAUCCAGCCAUGCCGCGUGAGUGAAGAAGGCCUUCGGGUUGUAAAGCUCUUUCGGCGGGGAAGAAAUGGCAACGGCUAAUAUCCGUUGUUGAUGACGGUACCCGCAUAAGAAGCACCGGCUAACUACGUGCCAGCCGCCGCCGUAA